GCUCUCCGCGGGAGCGCGUCGUGUCCGCGACGGAGGAGCCGCUUGGAGCCUGAGGCAGGGGCCAUCACUCCGCCGGACCACGAAGCUGAACCCGUUGCUGUUAAAUCCUCAAGGGAAAUAACCACGCUGAUCGAUCUGCUGGAUUGGCCAGACCACGGAUCGUUGUCCGGACGCAUUAACGGGAUUUAAUGCUAACACUACAGCACUGACACGCGUGUGGAGCUAUUAUUAUUAUUAGUAUUAUUAUUAGUAUUGGUAAAACCUGAGCACGAUGGCAGCAGCUGGUGAAUUCAAGAGUCCAGCUGCAGAUCGCCCGGUGGCACAUAAGGAAAUACUGUCUCUUUCCCGGGAUGGACCGGUUUCUAUUACUCCUGCUGCCAGAGUCCUGCUGCUGGACAAGCUGUUCGUCGGACAGACGCGUCCCUCGGGAUACUCCACGCGUGUUCAAGGGCAGCCGGUGCUCUAGGUGGCCGGUAUCGUGAUAUGCUUUUGGAAAAUUUGUUGUGGUGGAUUUUUUUUUUUUUUUUUGGAGCAGGGGAAGCAAUAUCCUGGAAUAUAUUUUUGUUAGCGAUGCUCGGCAGACGUCCAGCAAUUUGGAUAACGAGAGCACGCCUCAGCUCAUCCAGCAGAUUGAAGGAAUCCAAAUUCCUAGAACAAGAUGUCAACCUCUAAUUGCUUCCCAGGGAUCGUCUGACGAUCUAAGGUGAGCACCAAGAAGAGGCUGACUAAUGGAAAUGUGAUCUCAAGAGAUUCAACGGGACCACACUAAAUCCUAGUUUGGACUGUGGACCAGCCUCCCCCUACAGCAGAUCUUUGCUCCUGGCGUGGCUGCCGACAGCACGAGCUCCAUCACUGACAAUCUCGCGCUCAGGAUCCGGCGCCAGCAGCUCGGACUUGGAGAAGCUGAAGAAGCUGUGACACGAGCUCAGCAGGACAGCUGAGUGUAUUCUGCUGCUCAGACAUUAUGGAAUAGAUCAGUCAACCCUGUCUGGAGAGUUGCUUAAUGGGAAAGUCAACUCGAUGAAUGUGCAUUUACCAUAGUUACCACAAUGGAUCUACAUGUUAUUUGACUUUUUCUUUAUUGAACCUGGAUUAAUAUUUUCUGUAUUUACAUCUGCUUUUGAUAUCGAGCGUUUAUUCACACUGUUUCUCAUACACUGUACUGUAGUUGUGACAUUUACUGUAUUAUUCUGGGACAAGUAUCAACAAGUGCUGGAACUGUAAAUGAAAAAAAAAUGAUCUGAUGUUAUUUUUUUAUUUUUAAGACUAUUUUUACAAACUGAAGGCAGCGCUUACACCAGCGCAGGCAAAUAUCAGGUUCACCUAGUGAAGAGCACAUUAAAUGUCUCCUGCGGUGUAAAACAAAUUAAUACACAUGUAGUCAAGAUUCCUCAGAAGUAUUAACUCAGUGACUGAGUUAAUGUGCCUUAGUCAUCUGACAUCUUCUAAUGGCAAUUACACUGGAUUUCACUGUGACACAUUUAUAUACUGUUUUAAAAUUGGUUAAUAAUCCUGUCAAGCUACUUAUUCUCAUGAUGAUUUAUAGCCCCAUAACUUUUGUUGUGUCCAUGAAACCCUAUUAGCAAAAAUUAAAAUUGUAUCCAAGCUGCUGUUUAUUUUGUCAUUGAAGGUGCAGAUGUAUGAGAAUAAUAACUAUAAUAAUAACUAAUAACUAAUAAGAUGAUUUCAUAAUGUUUGUUAUGUGUCUGCAAACAUGUGUCUGCUGUUAUUGUUUGUCAAGCUGGCUUCGUGACUAGUCAGACCAUUGUUUGCCAAUCUGUUACUGCUGAGGAGUUAUAUCCCUCUUUAUUUUUUUCCUUUAGUGUUCAGACAAUGAAAUGUAGAAUAAAAGUGAAUUUUAAAGUUGAAUUGAACAAGUGUGACAUUUACAUGUUGAUAAGCCUAAUUGUUUUUGGAAAUCUUAGGGUUCUACUUAACAGUGUGAAUAACAGAUCGAUUUUGAAGUGAAUUUACCUUCAUCGCAAGGCUGUUUUCCUGAAAAAGAUGACAUCAUGGAAAAUAUGUUUGCAUGCUGAGUUUAGUUUCUGUAAACCUUGUAUGUAUGAUGUUGACGGAGAAGUGUUUAAUGUCACAGUUGAGGUCAACAGUGGUCAAACUGCAGGGAGUUUUUAUGAUUUGUUCCCCGUCUUCUGUGGAAAGACGUUCCAGCAUACACUACACAAAUGCAUUUAUUGUUUUCAGUUAGUUUGAGUGAGUGCAACAAUUUGGCAGUGACUUCCCAUUCAGCUGUCUUUCACUGUCAAU